UCCGCCACCGCAGCUUCUAGGUCCUUCCUCCGUUCUACCUCCGCCGCUGCCAGAAUGGCAUCCGCACAGAAAGCCGGAUCCAAACCAGCUUUUUCUCCAUUUCGCAUCUCCAAACAAAGCCCCUUCUCCCCUCGCAUUUUCAGGUACCAAAAAAUCAUCCCCGUCACUCUUUUUAUUACUGAUACUAUUUUUUUCUGCAUUUAAGGUCAAAUUUUUUCAUGGUGGGCUUUGAAUUUGAAAGGUCACCAGUGGAGAUGAGUUGCUGUGUAGAGACAAUGCUUCCAUACCACACUGCCACUUCCUCCGCAUUGCUUAAUUCAAUGCUCUCCGUUUCUCGCCGCAGCUAUGGUUGGACGCCUGAAGGUGUUUAGGAGUGAGGGAAACUUUGAAGGCCUAGAAAUGCGAUAGGUUUGAAUAAGAUGAGGAAGGGCCUUCAGUACUGAAAUCGUUGUGAUGUGAAUCUUGCUCUAUUUAUGCAUGAAGAUUUUUGGGUUUUUAAUAACCUGGUCUCUUUCUAUCUGCUUCUAUCCCUUGCAAAAUGAAAGAACGUUGUUCUUCUAUCCUUUUGUAGGGCAGUGCAAGCCUAGAUGAAGAUCAAGCGAUGAAAGAUGGAGUCAUUUGAGUCUCUUUUGUUGUCAACUUUUGAAAGUACUGGAGAAUGCUAUUUUUGACUUGAGUAGAUUAGGACUGUUUUUUUUCUAGAGAUAAGGUCAAAAGUUGAGAGACCGAACAGUUUCAACCAAUGUCAUGGAAUUGUGGGAUUCAUUUAUUCCUCAACCAUUUCAGUUGUUUUUUCACCUAUGUAACGAAUUUGCUAGAUUCAUUUUACAAAAAAAAAUCUCACAAAUGGCAACUGAUCACCUUAAAUGGUUCAACAAUGAUCUAAAAUAUUUCAUUUUUGCUAGUACUGAUGUUUCCAUGUCUGAUUUUA